UACGGAGGGUGCAAGCGUUAUCCGGAUUUACUGGGGUUAAAGGGUGUGUAGGCGGACUUUUAAGUCAGCGGUGAAAUCUCCGGGCUCAACCCGGAAACUGCCAUUGAUACUAUUGGUCUUGAAUGUUGUUGAGGUGGGCGGAACGGGUCAUGUAGCGGUGAAAUGCAUAGAUAUGACCCGGAACACCGAUUGCGUAGGCAGCCCACUAAGCAACGAUUGACGCUGAGGCACGAAAGCGUGGGGAUCAAACAGG
rnacentral:rRNA from 1 species